rnacentral:rRNA from 1 species
UAGGGAAUCUUCGGCAAUGGACGGAAGUCUGACCGAGCAACGCCGCGUGAGUGAAGAAGGCCUUCGGGUUGUAAAGCACUUUCAGCGGGGAGGAAGGCGGUGAGGUUAAUAACCUCAUCGAUUGACGUUACCCGCAGAAGAAGCACCGGCUAACUCCGUGCCAGCGGCCGCGGUAAUACGGAGGGUGCAAGCGUUAAUCGGAAUUACUGGGCGUAAAGCGCACGCAGGCGGUCUGUCAAGUCGGAUGUGAAAUCCCCGGGCUCAACCUGGGAACUGCAUUCGAAACUGGCAGGCUAGAGUCUUGUAGAGGGGGGUAGAAUUCCAGGUGUAGCGGUGAAAUGCGUAGAGAUCUGGAGGAAUACCGGUGGCGAAGGCGGCCCCCUGGACAAAGACUGACGCUCAGGUGCGAAAGCGUGGGGAGCAAACAGGAUUAGAUACCCUGGUAGUCCACGCUGUAAACGAUGUCGAUUUGGAGGUUGUGCCCUUGAGGCGUGGCUUCCGGAGCUAACGCGUUAAAUCGACCGCCUGGGGAGUACGGCCGCAAGGUUA